UAAUCAGCAGUACUAACCUGAUCAUCAUGAUGAAGCUCAUCCUUUCUCUCACUCUCAUCUGGACUCUCUGCAGUACAGCUGGAGCCCUUCAGUGUCAAAACUGCACAGAUGUAGUGUGUUCAACCACAGAAUCGAUAACAUGUCCCACAGGGACGAUGUGUAUAACAGCUUCCAUUCUAGCUAAUUUAAAUGGAAUGGAACAAAACCAAAUCUUCAAGUCAUGUGCAUUGCCCUCCCUGUGUCCAUCCACCGGCCCUCAGACAUUUUCAGCUAGCUUGCUUGCUGCAAGUGUUCUUGCAUCUGCUGAGUGCUGCAACACAGACGACUGCAACGCACCAACUC